rnacentral:rRNA from 1 species
UACGUAGGGGGCUAGCGUUGUCCGGAAUCAUUGGCGUAAAGCGCGUGUAGGCGGUCCGGUAAGUCCGCUGUGAAAGUCGGGGGCUCAACCCUCGGAUGCCGGUGGAUACUGUCGGGCUUGAGUACGGAAGAGGCGAGUGGAAUUCCUGGUGUAGCGGUGAAAUGCGCAGAUAUCAGGAGGAACACCGAUGGCGAAGGCAGGUCUCUGGGCAGUAACUGACGCUGAGGAGCGAAAGCGUGGGGAGCGAACAGG